GAGAGGCACAGAGAUAUAGUGGAAACAAAAUAGACCCAAAUAAUUAUCAUGGCAUCUGUAUCAGUAGCUGCCUAGGGAAGU